GUGGAUUCUAUGCUUGUGCC
rnacentral:piRNA from 1 species